rnacentral:rRNA from 1 species
UGCAGUCGAACGAUGAUGCCCAGCUUGCUGGGCGGAUUAGUGGCGAACGGGUGAGUAAUACGUGAGUAACCUGCCCUUGACUCUGGGAUAAGCCUGGGAAACUGGGUCUAAUACUGGAUACUACCUCUUACCGCAUGGUGGGUGGUGGAAAGGGUUUUACUGGUUUUGGAUGGGCUCACGGCCUAUCAGCUUGUUGGUGGGGUAAUGGCUCACCAAGGCGACGACGGGUAGCCGGCCUGAGAGGGUGACCGGCCACACUGGGACUGAGACACGGCCCAGACUCCUACGGGAGGCAGCAGUGGGGAAUAUUGCACAAUGGGCGGAAGCCUGAUGCAGCGACGCCGCGUGAGGGAUGACGGCCUUCGGGUUGUAAACCUCUUUCAGUAGGGAAGAAGCGAGAGUGACGGUACCUGCAGAAGAAGCGCCGGCUAACUACGUGCCAGCAGCCGCGGUAAUACGUAGGGCGCAAGCGUUGUCCGGAAUUAUUGGGCGUAAAGAGCUCGUAGGCGGUUUGUCGCGUCUGCUGUGAAAGCCCGGGGCUCAACCCCGGGUCUGCAGUGGGUACGGGCAGACUAGAGUGCAGUAGGGGAGACUGGAAUUCCUGGUGUAGCGGUGAGAUGCGCAGAUAUCAGGAGGAACACCGAUGGCGAACGCAGGUCUCUGGGCUGUUACUGACGCUGAG